rnacentral:rRNA from 1 species
AUUGAACGCUGGCGGCAUGCCUUACACAUGCAAGUCGAACGGUAACAGGUCUUCGGAUGCUGACGAGUGGCGAACAGGUGAGUAAUACAUCGGAACGUGCCUAGUUGUGGGGGAUAACUACUCGAAAGAGUGGCUAAUACCGCAUAAGAUCUACGGAUGAAAGCAGGGGAUCGCAAGGCCUUGUGCUACUAGAGCGGCCGAUGGCAGAUUAGGUAGUUGGUGGGAUAAAAGCUUACCAAGCCGACGAUCUGUAGCUGGUCUGAGAGGACGAUCAGCCACACUGGGACUGAGACACGGCCCAGACUCCUACGGGAGGCAGCAGUGGGGAAUUUUGGACAAUGGGCGCAAGCCUGAUCCAGCAAUGCCGCGUGCAGGAUGAAGGCCUUCGGGUUGUAAACUGCUUUUGUACGGAACGAAAAGCCCUGGGUUAAUACCCUGGGGUCAUGACGGUACCGUAAGAAUAAGCACCGGCUAACUACGUGCCAGCCGCCGCCGUAA